GACGAACGCUGGCGGCGUGCUUAACACAUGCAAGUCGAACGGAAAGGCCCUGCUUUUGUGGGGUGCUCGAGUGGCGAACGGGUGAGUAACACGUGAGUAACCUGCCCUUGACUUUGGGAUAACUUCAGGAAACUGGGGCUAAUACCGGAUAGGAGCUCCUGCUGCAUGGUGGGGGUUGGAAAGUUUCGGCGGUUGGGGAUGGACUCGCGGCUUAUCAGCUUGUUGGUGGGGUAGUGGCUUACCAAGGCUUUGACGGGUAGCCGGCCUGAGAGGGUGACCGGCCACAUUGGGACUGAGAUACGGCCCAGACUCCUACGGGAGGCAGCAGUGGGGAAGAUUGCACAAUGGGCGGAAGCCUGAUGCAGCAAAGCCGCGUGCGGGAUGACGGCCUUCGGGUUGUAAACCGCUUUCGCCUGUGACGAAGCGUGAGUGACGGUAAUGGGUAAAGAAGCACCGGCUAACUACGUG
rnacentral:rRNA from 1 species